GACGAACGCUGGCGGCGUGCUUAACACAUGCAAGUCGAACGGACUUUAGCGGUAGAAGUUUUCGGACGGAAACUGCGAAGAGUUAGUGGCGGACGGGUGAGUAACGCGUGAGGAACCUGCCUUUCAGAGGGGGACAACAGUUGGAAACGACUGCUAAUACCGCAUAACGCAGCAGUACCGCAUGGUACAACUGCCAAAGGAGCAAUCCGCUGAAAGAUGGCCUCGCGUCUGAUUAGAUAGUUGGUGGGGUAACGGCCUACCAAGUCAACGAUCAGUAGCCGGACUGAGAGGUUGAACGGCCACAUUGGGACUGAGACACGGCCCAGACUCCUACGGGAGGCAGCAGUGGGGAAUAUUGCGCAAUGGGGGAAACCCUGACGCAGCAACGCCGCGUGAAGGAAGAAGGUCUUCGGAUUGAAACUUUGUCUGCAGGGAAGAUAAUGACAGUACCUGUGGAGGAAGCUCCGGCUAACUACGUG
rnacentral:rRNA from 1 species